AUGAACGCUGGCGGCGUGCCUCAUACAUGCAAGUCGAGCGAACAGACGAGGAGCUUGCUCCUCUGACGUUAGCGGCGGACGGGUGAGUAACACGUGGAUAACCUACCUAUAAGACUGGGAUAACUUCGGGAAACCGGAGCUAAUACCGGAUAACAUGUUGAACCGCAUGGUUCAACAGUGAAAGACGGUCUUGCUGUCACUUAUAGAUGGAUCCGCGCCGCAUUAGCUAGUUGGUAAGGUAACGGCUUACCAAGGCAACGAUGCGUAGCCGACCUGAGCGGGUGAUCGGCCACACUGGAACUGAGACACGGUCCAGACUCCUACGGGAGGCAGCAGUAGGGAAUCUUCCGCGAUGGGCGAAAGCCUGACGGAGCAACGCCGCGUGAGUGAAGAAGGUCUUCGGAUCGUAAAACUCUGUUAUUAGGGAAGAACAAAUGUGUAAGUAACUAUGCACGUCUUGACGGUACCUAAUCAGAAAGCCACGGCUAACUACGUG
rnacentral:rRNA from 1 species